rnacentral:snoRNA from 1 species
UUUUAUGAUGAUAAGUUUCAUUUUUUGCCAGUCUAUUAAGAACAGAGCGUUUCCGCAAGAAACGUUUUUAAGACCAUCCCAUGUGGCUCUUUGAGCAGCAUGUCUUCGUUUUUCGGGCCUGAAAUGGGUGCCGUUUUGGUGCCCGCUUCUCCUGGUUUGAAAAAUGUGGGAAAUGGGCGUUUUUUAAUGUGAUGAGUGGCUGGCGUAUUUUAUGUCAUAGUUACACUGAGA